rfam:Gossypium raimondii Chr01_contig_998, whole genome shotgun sequence.
AAUAAGAGCAUGACAAAUCAAAUUUUUACACUUGAUUUUCAGCUUUUUUUUUCCUGAAAAAAUUCAAAUUUAACUAAAAAUGCUAAAAAUUAGGAUGGAAAAUUUGAUUUGUCAUGUCCCUAUU